GUCCUGCGACCGCUGAAUCCGCCUUCGGGCGGAACCGGGGACCCAGGUCCUUUGGGGCGAAUCGGCACUCCGGUGCCGUAGGGCAGCUUCCACGCCCGAGCCCGUCAGCUAACCCGGUAAGCGGCAUGGAAGCAAGGA
rnacentral:sRNA from 2 species